GACGAACGCUGGCGGCGUGCUUAACACAUGCAAGUCGAACGGAGAAGCCAUUGCUUGCUCUCUUUUAUCAGUGGCGAACGGGUGAGUAACACGUGAGUAACCUUCCCAUCACUCUGGGAUAAGCGCAUGAAACGGUGUCUAAUACUGGAUACGACCAACCCUUGCAUGGGGUGUUUGUGGAAGGAUUUAUCGGUGAUGGAUGGACUCGCGGCCUACCAGCUUGUUGGCGGGGUAAUGGCCCACCAAGGCGCCGACGGGUAGCCGGCCUGAGAGGGUGACCGGCCACAGUGGGACUGAGAUACGGCCCAGAGUCGUACGGGAGGCAGCAGUGGGGAAUAUUGCACAAUGGGCGGAAGCCUGAUGCAGCAACGCCGCGUGAGGGAUGAUGGCCUUCGGGUUGUAAACCUCUUUCAGCAGGGAAGAAGCGUAAGUGACGGUACCUGCUGAAGGAGCACCGGCUAACUACGUG
rnacentral:rRNA from 1 species